AGAGUUUGAUCCUGGCUCAGGACGAACGCUGGCGGCGUGCUUAACACAUGCAAGUCGAACGGUAAGGCCCUUCGGGGUACACGAGUGGCGAACGGGUGAGUAACACGUGGGUAAUCUGCCCUGCACAUCGGGAUAAGCCUGGGAAACUGGGUCUAAUACCGAAUAGGACCACAGAACACAUGUCCUGUGGUGGAAAGCUUUUGCGGUGUGGGAUGGGCCCGCGGCCUAUCAGCUUGUUGGUGGGGUGAUGGCCCACCAAGGCGACGACGGGUAGCCGGCCUGAGAGGGUGUCCGGCCACACUGGGACUGAGAUACGGCCCAGACUCCUAC
rnacentral:rRNA from 1 species